rnacentral:rRNA from 1 species
AUGGGAACGCGAAGAACCUUACCUACUCUUGACAUCCAGAGAACUUUCCAGAGAUGGAUUGGUGCCUUCGGGAACUCUGAGACAGGUGCUGCAUGGCUGUCGUCAGCUCGUGUUGUGAAAUGUUGGGUUAAGUCCCGCAACGAGCGCAACCCGUUAUCCUUUGUUGCCAGCGGUUCGGCCGGGAACUCAAAGGAGACUGCCAGUGAUAAACUGGAGGAAGGUGGGGAUGACGUCAAGUCAUCAUGGCCCUUACGAGUAGGGCUACACACGUGCUACAAUGGCGCAUACAAAGAGAAGCGACCUCGCGAGAGCAAGCGGACCGUCAUAAAGUGCGUCGUAGUCCGGAUUGGAGUCUGCAACUCGACUCCAUGAAGUCGGAAUCGCUAGUAAUCGUAGAUCAGAAUGCUACGGUGAAUACGUUCCCGGGUCUUGUACACACCG